rnacentral:rRNA from 1 species
GACGAACGCUGGCGGCGUGCUUAACACAUGCAAGUCGAACGGAAAGGCCCUGCUUUUGUGGGGUGCUCGAGUGGCGAACGGGUGAGUAACACGUGAGUAACCUGCCCUUGACUUUGGGAUAACUUCAGGAAACUGGGGCUAAUACCGGAUAGGAGCUCCUGCUGCAUGGUGGGGGUUGGAAAGUUUCGGCGGUUGGGGAUGAACUCGCGGCUUAUCAGCUUGUUGGUGGGGUAGUGGCUUACCAAGGCUUUGACGGGUAGCCGGCCUGAGAGGGUGACCGGCCACAUUGGGACUGAGAUACGGCCCAGACCCAUACGCGAGGCAGCAGUGGGGAAUAUUACAAAAUGGGCGGAAGCCUGAUGCAGCAACGCCGCGUGCGGGAUGACGGCCUUCGGGUUGUAAACCGAUUUCGCCUGUGACGAAGCGUGAGUGACGGUAAUGGGUAAAGAAGCACCGGCUAACUACGUG